CAUAGAAAAGGUUCUUAAAAUCACCUUUUAAUUCCAUAGAGAGGGGGGUCCGAGUCAUAAUCAUGUAUUCCAGCACUAUAGUGUUCCUUUAAAGACACAUUACUGGGAGUAUUAUCACUGUGGAGCUCUGUUAUACACUCAGACACAUUACUGGGAGUAUUAUUACUGUGGAGCUCUGUUAUACACUCAGACACAUUACUGGGAGUAUUAUUGCUUUGGAGCUCAGUUAUACACUCAGACACAUUACUGGGAGUAUUAUUGCUGUGGAGCUCUGUAAUACACUCAGAACCCCCAACAAUAUGGAGCUCAUAGAAAAGAGGGACAUUAGGACAGAAAAGAAGGACAGGAAUUUGGGCCCAAAAUAUGAACACUUUGGGGGGUAUGCGUACCUAGAUUGUAAGCUCUUUCAAGUAGGGUACUACUCAUCAACCUAUUG